GGCGGCGUGCCUAACACAUGCAAGUCGAACGGGAUAAGAGAUGCUUGCAUUUCUUAUCAAGUGGCGGACGGGUGAGUAACGCGUGGAUAAUCUGCCCUACACAGGGGGAUAACAGCCGGAAACGGCUGCUAAUACCGCAUAGACUGAGCUCUCGCAUGAGAGAACAGGGAAAGAUUUAUCGGUGUAGGAUGAAUCCGCGUCCGAUUAGCUAGUUGGAGGGGUAACGGCCCACCAAGGCGACGAUCGGUAGCCGGCCUGAGAGGGCGACCGGCCACAUUGGGACUGAGACACGGCCCAGACUCCUGCGGGAGGCAGCAGUGGGGAAUAUUGCACAAUGGGGGGAACCCUGAUGCAGCGACGCCGCGUGAGUGAAGAAGUAUUUCGGUAUGUAAAGCUCUAUCAGCAGGGACGAAGAUGACGGUACCUGCAGAAGAAGCCCCGGCUAACUACGCGCCAGCAGCCGCGGUAAUACGUAGGGGGCAAGCGUUAUCCGGAUUUACUGGGUGUAAAGGGAGCGUAGACGGCAGGGCAAGCCAGAAGUGAAAACGCAGAGCUUAACUUUGCGACUGCUUUUGGAACUGCCCAGCUAGAGUACAGGAGAGGUAAGUGGAAUUCCUAGUGUAGCGGUGAAAUGCGUAGAUAUUAGGAGGAAACACCAGUGGCGAAGGCGGCUUACUGGACUGAAAACUGACGUUGAGGCUCGAAAAGCGUGGGGAGCA
rnacentral:rRNA from 1 species